GAUGAACGCUGGCGGCGUGCCUAAUACAUGCAAGUCGAGCGAAGCGGGGACGGGUGAGUAACACGUGGAUAACCUCCUAUAUGACUGGGAUAACUUCGGGAAACCGGAGCUAAACCGGAUACUUAGAGAUGGAUCCUCGCUGCAUUAGCUAGUUGGUAAGGUAACGGCUUACCAAGGCGACGAGGCAUAGCCGACCUGAGAGGGGGAUCGGCCACACUGGAACUGAGACACGGCCCAGACUCCUACGGGAGGCAGCAGUAGGGAAUCUUCCGCAAUGGGCGAAAGCCUGACGGAGCAACGCCGCGUGAGUGAAGAAGGUCUUCGGAUCGUAAAACUCUGUUGUUAGGGAAGCGGUACCUAAUCAGAAAGCCACGGCUAACUACGUGCCAGCAGCCGCGGUAAUAC
rnacentral:rRNA from 1 species